rnacentral:rRNA from 1 species
UACGUAGGGUGCGAGCGUUAAUCGGAAUUACUGGGCGUAAAGCGCGUGUAGGCGGCUCGGCAAGUCGGGUGUGAAAGCCCUGGGCUUAACCUAGGAAGUGCACUCGAAACUGCCAAGCUUGAGUUCUGGAGAGGAAGGCGGAAUUCUCGGUGUAGAGGUGAAAUUCGUAGAUAUCGAGAGGAACACCGGUGGCGAAGGCGGCCUUCUGGACAGCAACUGACGCUGAGACGCGAAAGCGUGGGGAGCAAACAGG